rnacentral:rRNA from 1 species
AGUGAACGCUGGCGGCAGGCCUAAUACAUGCAAGUCGAACGACCGCACAGUAAGCGUUCGCUUUUACGGGUGGCGAGUGGCGGACGGGUGAGGCAUACAUCGGAUUCUUCUUUUUCGUGGGGGACAACGUAGGGCAACUUCCGCUACUACCGAAUAUGUUGUACGGCUGGAAUCAAGGGAUCUUCGGACCUUUCGUGUCUCAAUGAGCCGAUGCCGGAUUAGCUAGUUGGCGGGGUAAAGGCCCACCAAGGCGACGAUGCGUAGCUGAUCUGAGAGGAUGAUCGGCCACACUGGAACUGAGACACGGUCCAGACUCCUACGGGAGGCAGCAGUAGGGAAUAUUGGGCAAUGGGCGCAAGCCUGAUGGAGCCAUGCCGCGUGAGUGAUGAAGGCCUUCGGAUCGUAAAGCUCUGUUAUUAGGGAAGAAAAGCAGCGUAAUAAAAUCCGGCUGUUCUGACGGUACCCAAACAGAAAGCACCGGCUAACUACGUG